rnacentral:tRNA from 1 species
GCCGGCGUGGCGCAAUGGUAGCGCGUAGCUUUCCUAAGAUAAUUGGCUAGGCUGAAGUUGCGGGUUCGAUCCCCGUCGUCGGUU